rnacentral:rRNA from 1 species
UGGGGAAUAUUGCACAAUGGGCGCAAGCCUGAUGCAGCCAUGCCGCGUGUAUGAAGAAGGCCUUCGGGUUGUAAAGUACUUUCAGCGGGGAGGAAGGCGAUAAGGUUAAUAACCUUGUCGAUUGACGUUACCCGCAGAAGAAGCACCGGCUAACUCCGUGCCAGCAGCCGCGGUAAUACGGAGGGUGCAAGCGUUAAUCGGAAUUACUGGGCGAAAAGCGCACGCAGGCGGUCUGUCAAGUCGGAUGUGAAAUCCCCGGGCUCAACCUAGGAACUGCAUUCGAAACUGGGAGGCUAGAGUCUUGUAGAGGGGGGUAGAAUUGCAGGUGUAGCGGUGAAAUGCGUAGAGAUCUGGAGGAAUACCGGUGGCGAAGGCGGCCCCCUGGACAAAGACUGACGCUCAGGUGCGAAAGCGUGGGGAGCAAACA